GAUUAGAUACCCUAGUAUUAGCAAAUUGAAAGGAUUAUUAUGAGUUAAGAAAUUUAAAAAUUUUGGCGGUUAAUUAUUGAUUAGAGGAGCUUGUUUUUAGAAUUUACUCUUUAUAUUUUAUUAAUUUUUGUUUAUUUAUCUCCGUUAUUAGGUGUCGACUUUACAAGAGAUAAGAUGACUUGAAUUUCAGGUCAAGAUGUAGCUUGAAUUAAGUUUAAUUAGCUACAUUUAUGUUAUAUUGUGAAUUUAUAUCAAAUAGAAAUGGUUGAUGAAAUUGAAUUUAAUUGUAAUAUUAUUUAUAGGGUUAGUAUGAAUAUUUAUAAUUAAUGUUCAUAUUGCCCGUCACUUCUUUUGUUUAAAUAGAAUAAGUCGUAACAA
rnacentral:rRNA from 1 species